AUUCUUUUAACAUUAAAAUCCUUUUUAAUUAUAAAAAAGCUUAUUGUAACAAGAUUUUUCUUAUAAAAAUAUUUGCUAAAAUUUAUAAAAAUGGUGGCUCCGAUUGGACUUGAACCAACGACCACUACCA
rnacentral:antisense_RNA from 1 species